AUUGAACGCUGGCGGCAGGCCUAACACAUGCAAGUCGAACGAGUGGCGGACGGGUGAGUAAUGUCUGGGAAACUGCCCGAUGGAGGGGGAUAACUACUGGAAACGGUAGCUAAUACCGCAUACCAUCGGAUGUGCCCAGAUGGGAUUAGCUGGUAGGUGAGGUACCGGCUCACCUAGGCGACGAUCCCUAGCUGGUCUGAGAGGAUGACCAGCGACACUGGAACUGAGACAGGGUCCAGCAUCCUACGGGGGGGAGCAGUGGGGAAUAUGGCACAAUGGGUGAAAGGCGGAUGCAGCCAUGCGGGGUGGAUGAAGAAGGCGUUCGGGUUGUAAAGUACUUUCAGCGGGGAGGCGUUACCCGCAGAAGAAGCACCGGCUAACUCCGUGCCAGCAGCCGCGGUAAUAC
rnacentral:rRNA from 1 species